AGGGGUGUAGCUCAUCUGGCUAGAGCGCUGGUCUCCAAAACCAGAGGUAGGGGGUUCAAGUCCCUCCACCCCUGCCA
rnacentral:tRNA from 3 species